rnacentral:rRNA from 1 species
GGUUAAGCGACUAAGCGUACACGGUGGAUGCCCUGGCAGUCAGAGGCGAUGAAGGACGUGCUAAUCUGCGAAAAGCGCCGGCGAGGUGAUAUGAACCCUUGACCCGGCGAUGUCCGAAUGGGGAAACCCAGUGCAAUCCGUUGCACUAUCGUUAACUGAAUACAUAGGUUAACGAGGCGAACCGGGGGAACUGAAACAUCUAAGUACCCCGAGGAAAAGAAAUCAACCGAGAUUCCCCCAGUAGCGGCGAGCGAACGGGGAGCAGCCCGGAGUCUGAAUCAGCUUGUGUGUUAGUGGAACGGUCUGGAAAGUCCGACGGUACAGGGUGAUAGUCCCGUACACGAAAGCACACUUGCUGUGAACUCGAAGAGUAGGGCGGGACACGUGGUAUCCUGUCUGAAUAUGGGGGGACCAUCCUCCAAGGCUAAAUACUCCUGACUGACCGAUAGUGAACCAGUACCGUGAGGGAAAGGCGAAAAGAACCCCGGCGAGGGGAGUGAAAAAGAACCUGAAACCGUGUACGUACAAGCAGUGGGAGCCUCUUUAUGGGGUGACUGCGUACCUUUUGUAUAAUGGGUCAGCGACUUAUAUUCUGUAGCAAGGUUAACCGUAUAGGGGAGCCGAAGGGAAACCGAGUCUUAACUGGGCGUUAAGUUGCAGGGUAUAGACCCGAAACCCGGUGAUCUAGCCAUGGGCAGGUUGAAGGUUGGGUAACACUAACUGGAGGACCGAACCGACUAAUGUUGAAAAAUUAGCGGAUGACCUGUGGCUGGGGGUGAAAGGCCAAUCAAACCGGGAGAUAGCUGGUUCUCCCCGAAAGCUAUUUAGGUAGCGCCUCGUGAACUCAUCUUCGGGGGUAGAGCACUGUUUCGGCUAGGGGGCCAUCCCGGCUUACCAACCCGAUGCAAACUACGAAUACCGAAGAAUGUUAUCACGGGAGACACACGGCGGGUGCUAACGUCCGUCGUGAAGAGGGAAACAACCCAGACCGCCAGCUAAGGUCCCAAAGUCAUGGUUAAGUGGGAAACGAUGUGGGAAGGCACAGACAGCCAGGAUGUUGGCUUAGAAGCAGCCAUCAUUUAAAGAAAGCGUAAUAGCUCACUGGUCGAGUCGGCCUGCGCGGAAGAUGUAACGGGGCUAAACCAUGCACCGAAGCUGCGGCAGCGACACUAUGUGUUGUUGGGUAGGGGAGCGUUCUGUAAGCCGUUGAAGGUGUGCUGUGAGGCAUGCUGGAGGUAUCAGAAGUGCGAAUGCUGACAUAAGUAACGAUAAAGCGGGUGAAAAGCCCGCUCGCCGGAAGACCAAGGGUUCCUGUCCAACGUUAAUCGGGGCAGGGUGAGUCGACCCCUAAGGCGAGGCCGAAAGGCGUAGUCGAUGGGAAACAGGUUAAUAUUCCUGUACUUGGUGUUACUGCGAAGGGGGGACGGAGAAGGCUAUGUCAGCCGGGCGACGGUUGUCCCGGUUUAAGCAUGUAGGCGGAGGUUCCAGGUAAAUCCGGUACCUUAUUAACGCUGAGGUGUGAUGACGAGGCACUACGGUGCUGAAGUGAUAAAUGCCCUGCUUCCAGGAAAAGCCUCUAAGCAUCAGGUAACACGAAAUCGUACCCCAAACCGACACAGGUGGUCAGGUAGAGAAUACCAAGGCGCUUGAGAGAACUCGGGUGAAGGAACUAGGCAAAAUGGUGCCGUAACUUCGGGAGAAGGCACGCUGAUGUGUAGGUGAAGCCCCUGCGGGCGGAGCUGAAAUCAGUCGAAGAUACCAGCUGGCUGCAACUGUUUAUUAAAAACACAGCACUGUGCAAACACGAAAGUGGACGUAUACGGUGUGACGCCUGCCCGGUGCCGGAAGGUUAAUUGAUGGGGUUAGCGGCAACGCGAAGCUCUUGAUCGAAGCCCCGGUAAACGGCGGCCGUAACUAUAACGGUCCUAAGGUAGCGAAAUUCCUUGUCGGGUAAGUUCCGACCUGCACGAAUGGCGUAAUGAUGGCCAGGCUGUCUCCACCCGAGACUCAGUGAAAUUGAACUCGCUGUGAAGAUGCAGUGUACCCGCGGCAAGACGGAAAGACCCCGUGAACCUUUACUAUAGCUUGACACUGAACACUGGUCCUUGAUGUGUAGGAUAGGUGGGAGGCUUUGAAGCGUGGACGCCAGUCUGCGUGGAGCCAACCUUGAAAUACCACCCUUUAAUGGCUGGUGUUCUAACGUAGACCCGUAAUCCGGGUUGCGGACAGUGUCUGGUGGGUAGUUUGACUGGGGCGGUCUCCUCCCAAAGAGUAACGGAGGAGCACGAAGGUUGGCUAAUCCUGGUCGGACAUCAGGAGGUUAGUGCAAUGGCAUAAGCCAGCUUGACUGCGAGCGUGACGGCGCGAGCAGGUGCGAAAGCAGGUCAUAGUGAUCCGGUGGUUCUGAAUGGAAGGGCCAUCGCUCAACGGAUAAAAGGUACUCCGGGGAUAACAGGCUGAUACCGCCCAAGAGUUCAUAUCGACGGCGGUGUUUGGCACCUCGAUGUCGGCUCAUCACAUCCUGGGGCUGAAGUAGGUCCCAAGGGUAUGGCUGUUCGCCAUUUAAAGUGGUACGCGAGCUGGGUUUAGAACGUCGUGAGACAGUUCGGUCCCUAUCUGCCGUGGGCGCUGGAGAAUUGAGGGGGGCUGCUCCUAGUACGAGAGGACCGGAGUGGACGCAUCACUGGUGUUCGGGUUGUCAUGCCAAUGGCACUGCCCGGUAGCUAAAUGCGGAAGAGAUAAGUGCUGAAAGCAUCUAAGCACGAAACUUGCCCCGAGAUGAGUUCUCCCUGAGACUUUAAGUCUCCUGAAGGAACGUUGAAGACGACGACGUUGAUAGGUCGGGUGUGUAAGCGCAGCGAUGCGUUGAGCUAACCGAUACUAAUGAACCGUGAGGCUUAACCUU